GGGAGACACAGCUGCCUAACACAUACCACUGCACACCCCUCAGCUCCAAAACUGAGUAGUUGCAUACAGGCCUAUUGGGCUGAAAUACCGAUUUUUCUAAUGUCAACUUACUGUCCAAUACAGAGAUUAUAGUUAGCUAGUGAGUAAGAUGACUAUGCUGUUCUGCUUUUCUAUUUCACACUGAAGAUUUUCAGAUGAGGUUCUAUCAUUACUGGCACAGACAAGUGAAAAGGGGAACUUGAAGGUAAAAUAAUUUUCUGCCUUCAGAAAACUCAGAAGAUAAAAGUGCAGAAAAAAAAAUUGAGAGGAGCACAUUACAGCAUCACAUUUCAGAAUUUGAAGUAACCAAACUGUUUUGGUACUUUUUUUCAGGAGAAAACUAAAAUGAGCAUUGUUUCCUUAAGUCCUGGGGAAGAAAGACCUUUUUUAAAAAAUCUAUUUCUGUUUUCAAAUAUUUUCAAUGUUCAGAGCAUGCAUUUGCUUAAAAAUUCUGAUAAAUACAGGAAUAAGUUUUGGGAAUCAAGAAAAAAAAUCAAAUUUGAGAUUUUUGUUUUCAAAUGGUUUGGAAUUUUGUGUUUUGUUUUCCCUUAUUGAGACCCUGAAGCAUGUCCAAUGCCUCAGAGGUGUUAAUCGGACAGAAAAUUCACUUUGUGUUAGAUUACAGAGGUAAUGGGCCUGGAAAACUAGGCCAAUCUUGAGGUAAGAGCGUAUCAGGAACUUUAGGAAAAAUUUCUUCUCCUAAAGAGUGGUCAGGCUUUAGAGUGGGCUGCCUAGGCAGGUGGUUGAGUCACAGUCCUUGGAGGUGUUCAAGAAAUGUGUGGAUGUGGUACUAAGGGGCAUGGUUUAGUGGGUUAUAUUGGUGGUAGGUGGUUGAGUCACAGUCCUUGGAGGUGUUCAAGAAAUGUGUGGAUGUGGUACUAAGGGGCAU
rnacentral:lncRNA from 1 species